rnacentral:tRNA from 1 species
GGAGGGACGUUGCUCAGAGGGAGAACAGCUGCUUGGCACACAGGAGGUUCUGGGUUCAGUCCCCAGUGUUUCCA